ACGGGGGCAGCAGGCGCGAAAACUGACCCAAUGCGCGAAAGCGUGAGUCGGUCAAUCCGAGUGUAGACCCAUCGGUUUACUUUUAUCAUGUGUACAAAGCUUGGUGAAUAAUGUGAGGGCAAGACUGGUGCCAGCCGCCGCGGUAAAACCAGCUCAUAGAGUGGUGAUCGUGAUUAUUUGGCUUAAAGUGUGCGUAGCAGGGAAUUCUAAGUCCUCUGUGAAAUGUCAGGUCUUAAGCUUGACACGUGCAGAGGAUACUGGAAUCCUUGGGACCGGGAUAGGUGUAAUGUACGGUUUGGGUAGGGGUGAAAUCCGAUAAUCCAAGCCGGACAACCGAUGGCGAAGGCGUUACACUGGAACGGGUCCGACUGUGAGGCACGAAAGCUAGGGUCGCGAGCCGGAUUAGAUACCCGGGUAGUCCUAUGCUGUAAACGAUGCUCACUAAGUGUUAGGUAAUGCAAGACAUUCUCUAGUGCCGAAGCGAAAGCGUUAAGUGAGCCGCCUGGAAGUA
rnacentral:rRNA from 1 species